GACCGUGCGAAGGUAGCAUAAUCCUUAGUUUUUUAAUUGAAGGCUAGAAUGAAUGGUUGGACCAGAAAUAAUCUGUCUUAAAUUAAUAUAUUGAAUUUAACUUUUAAGUGAAAAGGCUUAAAUAAUCUGAAGGGACGAUAAGACCCUAUAAAACUUUAUAUUGAAAAGUGAUAGGUAUAUUUUGUUUAAAGAAUUAUUACUUUAAAGUAUUUGGUUGGGGGGACAAAAAUAGAAGAUAAAGUAACUGUUUUUUUUUUAUACAAUAAUGUUUGGGUUAGUGAUCCUAAAAUGGAUUAAAGAUUAAGUUACUUUAGGGAUAACAGCGUAAUUUUCUUUAAGAGUUCUUAUCGAUAAGAAAGUUUGCGACCUCGAUGUUGAAUUAAAGGUUCUUUAUGGAGUAGAGACUAUAAAAGAAGGUCUGUUCGACCUUUAAAACUUUACAUGAUUUGAGUUCAAACCGGUGUGAGCCAGGUUGGUUUCUAUC
rnacentral:rRNA from 1 species